ACUUUGCGGUUGGGUGUUUUGCUCCUGUCAACCUGUAGAGGAGGAAACAGUGAUCACAACGGUGAAAAAAUCACAUCGAACAGGAAUCGGGAAGGGCCUCAUCGGAGGCAAAAAUUAAAAUACCCCGUGGCGGCGCUGCUGAGCGUCGAUUUUUGGCCAUGGAUGGGUUUGGAAUCAAAUUUUGAACAAAGGGUAGAAUUGUUACC
rnacentral:lncRNA from 1 species